UCGGUCCUACGGGGGGCAGCAGUGAGGAAUAUUGGUCAAUGGGCGCGAGCCUGAACCAGCCAAGUAGCGUGAAGGAUGACUGCCCUACGGGUUGUAAACUUCUUUUAUAAAGGAAUAAAGUGAGGCACGUGUGCCUUUUUGUAUGUAUUUUAUGAAUAAGGAUCGGCUAACUCCGUGCCAGCAGCCGCGGUAAUACGGAGGAUCCGAGCGUUAUCCGGAUUUAUUGGGUUUAAAGGGUGCGCAGGCGGAUUUUUAAGUCAGCGGUCAAAUCGUGGGGCUCAACCCCAUCCAGCCGUUGAAACUGG
rnacentral:rRNA from 1 species